ensembl:lncRNA
GGGGCGUCUGGGGGGCCGCGUCCCGCUGGCCGGCUCCGAGAGCACCGAGGUGUCGCGAGGUGCGCUCGCCCGCAGCCCUCUGUCAGUUAUUUUGGUCAGGAUGGCACGUGGAUCCCGGGACAGGGGCACAGAGAGAUUAGGUGGUUUAAAUCUUAUGCCUUGGGCCCCUCUCCAAGGAAAAGCUGCUGCUGACUUACAGCUGUCUCGUGCUCUCUGUGGAAUGAGAGGGAAGUCCAUUCAGUCUGGUGAAAAUAAACCCACCGUCAUAGCUGGCAUUCUCGUUGGUAGUCUCAGUGCGGAGGCCAAGGAUUUGAGGGCAGUGACACAUGAGGCAUCUCACUCCUAAAGAGCUCGAUCUGGGUUGAAACGUGUCAUCAGAAAAGCAUGAGGAGCCUUGCGCUCCCGCUGUCAGUACAGUGCUUGCCCUCUGCACACAGACCGGCUUUCCUUUUCUGUCCCGUCCGUCUGGCACACAGCACGGGGACCAUUUACUGUACAUUCACGUUAAAGGAGAAGCACACCCGCUGUUCUCCCCUGGGACCCAUCAGCCCCGCACCUAAUGCCUUUCCAUCGCCAUCUGCCCUUCUCUCCUGCGGGAUAAAAGACUGCGCCCAGCCUCAUCAUCUCCCCUCUAUCUGUGCUCCUCUCUGUUCCUCUCCUCCUUGGUGCUGGGUACCUGCAGUGCCUGGAUGCAGUGAGGGAUGGGCAGGCCCUGUGCCGUGGCAUCGCAUGUGUGCCACUCCCCAGUAGCAGCCAUUGUGUUGGCUCUCCUAACGAUGACUGUGCAGGGGUACGAAGGACACUUCCAGAGCACGCUGGCCCCACAGCAUCAUCCCAGUGAGCACCUGUGAGUUGGAUUUCUGUGAAGAAAAGCACUUCUGUUUUCUGGAGCACUGCUGGCCGGAGAGCUGCAAAAAUGAAGCAGAUGUUUUAUUUGUUGCUCUUCACGUCACUUACAGUGAAGAUCCUAUGAGACGUUAUGAGAUGAAUUAAGCCUCACUGAGGAAUUGCUCGGCCCACCGGCCCACCCCAGGCACAGAGUAGUGCGGUGCCACAGCUCGCAGGAGUACAGCAGCCACGUGGCAUGUAUGUGCUCUGACUUCCCCCUCAGCCCAGGAUCAGGAGUGAGUCCAAAGGCCAUCCCAGGCAAGAAGUGCUGACUAUAAUAAGGAUGAUGUGAGAAAGCGGAAGCUUUCAUCAUAGAUGCCUGGAGUUCUUUCUUUGCUGUGUUAUCAACAGGUCUGAGAGGCUAUACAGACUCCUUAUAAAGAGUGAAGUCUGCUUUGGAUGGUUUCAUACCAUUUCCUCCCAAAUUCAUGUGACGCAAUAGACGCGGUGCCCGGUACACAGGCUGCAUCCCACACCCUCAGACCAGGAGGUACAUGGAGCGGGCACGGCAGCGGCCUUUCCACCUGAGGGUCUGGAGGGUCUGGAGCCCUCCAGAAGAGUUGUUGUCCCUCAAAAUUGACUCGCUGCCCCACAUCGCUGCUGCAGAGAUGUCACGUUUCACAAGCGUUUCCCGGUGGAGCCCCAAUCCAGCUGCCAGUGCCUCUAUGGGUGAAAUUAAAGAGCUGCAUCACCCUGGAGAUGACCUGUGAUCUUUUUAAGUUAGAGUGCACUCUGAGAAAAAAAAAAAAGGAGGGAAAAAAAAAAAAAAAAAAGGAAAGUAAAAGAAAAACACUAAAAUAAAAUCUGUUGAGUCUCCAAGCUUUCCCAGGCAACUCUGGGUGGCCCAGUUUGAACUCUUUCCCCCUGCAGCCACUGACAUAGGUGUUCUCUCGAUACGGCUUCCACCCACUCACUGUGAGCCCUCCUCGGAGCUGAAUGUGCCGUCUUCUCACUCUUCAAUGAAAAAAAAACCUGAGGUUGGAAAACACAGAACGCAGCGAGGCCGUGCAGACAGCUCGUCAGGGUCUGCAGCGCCCGGCUCCUGCACACCUUCCGCUGAAGGAUGUGGAAACGAUUUUAAACUCAAUGGUGCCAAGAGAAGGGGGGGGGGGGGGGCACAGCUGCUUGGAGUCCUUGGGUGAGGAAGUUAAAGAUACCAAAAUUAGAGGCAGGUCUUUCAUGCAGCUGAUUAGUGCAAUGGAAUGUCACAUUUUGCAAAGAAAGUUUGCCUAUCAAGCUGCAGAUUUAUUAAAUGCGUUCCAGACUUGCAUUGCUUCAUUCAAGUUUAACGGAGCUGUAAUACUUAAGAUGCCCUUUAGCAAUUUAAUACUCUCUUGUACAAAUCAUUGGAAAAUUUAAAAUAGAAAAAUAUGUCCGGGCUUAACUGUAAGAAGAAGGGGAACUCUGUACAAAAACAGAGCAGAAAGAAUGCAUGGGUAAAGCUGAGUAUUACUGAAUAUCUUACCACAUGUACUAUUCUGCUGAGUUAUUAGUACACGCGCUCUGAUCCGCGGGCCAAAGGAGGAACUAGCAGUAAUAAGUUGCAGAACAACAGCUUUUGGCAUCAGGGCUGGAGACUGGCAUCACACCAUGCCCAGAAAUUACUCCUCGGAAAACACGUUUUAUAGACUCUUCUCCUUCACUUUCUCGGCAGUGCAAAGUGAAAUGGGAUCUGAAUGGAGCAGCCACUCAUCUCUCCCACCAUGCAUGAAACAACUGCAUGAUGCAGUAAGAAGCAGCUUGCCAGGAGGCACCAGGAGAGCCUGCUAGGCCUCAGAGAGCGCUAUUGAAACAGAAGCUGGUGCAGUGUAAUGAUGAUUGGCAAGGUCCGGUGUAUGGUAACAGGGCCUAAUUUAAGCAUGAAUGUGCUAGCACCUCUGCUUUUGAAAGGCAAAUGGAUAUACAUAAUCUAUUUCCCUGAGCCAGGGUGGGGGGUUUACUCCUCAUUCUCCAUUAUCUUCCUUCUCUUGCUUCACUGUAGCUCUAGCAUGUGGCAACCUGCCCCUGAGUCUGCAGCAAUGCCAGGAGAGAGGACCUGGGCAGCCAGAUGUUCUGUCUCUGCAGGGUGCUGGUCUCUGAAUGUUUGUUUUUCUUUCUUUCUUGUCAUCUGAUCCUCCUGGCGGAAGAGUCGCACUGUGGGAUCAACCUCCUUAUUCACAGGGCAGCACAUCCUGCAAAGCACAUUUCCUACCAAAACAGGGAGUGGGGUAGAAGAAGCAAAAUGUGCCUAGGAUGGGAAUAAUUGGCAGUGGGAGAGAGACAGGUGAGUAGGUUUGCUUUGAUUUUGAGGGUUGGAUAGAGAAGCAGCCAAAACGAGAGGCAUAGGGCUGUUACACCAGCCUCUCUACAAAGCUUUGCAGCUGCUGGAGGCCUGGGUCACCUGGAUGCUGCUUAAAAAGUGCUCUUGGACACAGAUGAUAUAUGAGGGAGUCUGAAUACCGGCUAGAAGCAUGGAGGAAAAGGCAUGGAAAGUAGUCUGGAAAGAAGAGAAUGGAUACUUUCAAUAGCUCCUGACUAUAGAGUGUGGGCUCUUGCAAGAGUUGGACUCACCCAGGCAUAAUGCGGACCAGCAGCAUCUUCCACCGUGGUGUGGCAGAAACAAGCAAGAGGAGCCCUGGAUUUCUGGCCUUCCACAGAAACAACCCCCUUGUGUUGCUGCCUCCAAAGAAGCUGCCAAAAUACAAUGGUAAACAGCUACACAUUAAAGAACAAAGGUCCAUUAACUAUCAAAUAGUGUUUUAACUUGCUCCAGAAUGCAGGGAUGAAAUUCAGUUUCCUGUCACCACUGAAUUGUGACAAGCUACUCGCAAAAGCGACUUCAGAGAAGCUGGCGUGGUUUCCGUAGCUGAUAUCUGGAAGCUAUGUAGAAUUAUCUGCAGCAGCAAAGUGAGGAUAGCAAGCAAGAGAGACUCAGUUGCCAGGAGUAGGCAAGAGAAAUCACAUAGCUGAGAUGUACUGAGGCAGAUGAUCCAAAUAGCUCAGGGGGGUUCAGUCUCAUCUUCACCAGAUGCAGAAUAUGAACUCAGUAAUGCUGCUUUGUCAGGAAGAAGGAGACAGAUUACUUGUAUGCGUAGUGUGGAUCUCUUCCACGUAGCACUAAUGAGCUGCUACUAUCACUGUAGCUCAGGUACAGAUUAUUUCACUUGCAUCUAAAUUUUAAAAUAUAGAAGCAACACUCGUGUAAUUUCUGUUAUUUAGGGCAGUGUAGAUUAGUGUAGAAUAGGAGCCCAGAUUUUGGAAUUGGGUUGAGAAGAAGUAGUGUGGACCCUUUCUAAAUAACUGGGCAGUCCUACAGCUAAGAUCUCGAGAGGUCGGUCAUUCACAGCAAGGGGAAAAUGACUGAUUGGUGCAGAGAAGCUCUUCACAAUUGCAAGCAGUUAAAGUUGUCAUUCGUUGCAAGGAACUGCACUGCCAGGGGCUGGGGCACAUUUCAUACAUCAGAGCAUGCCCGCAGGCAGCCAACCUGCUCAGGGUUAUUACUCUCCUUUUAUAAAAACCUGGCAUACCUGUGGGAGAUGAAGUCAGAGAGGAUCUUUUGAAUCACACAGAAAUAAGCAGAAGGCUUCAUCCAUUUCUGCUGGAGAUAUAUCUGGUUGUUUCUCCAUGUGGUUGUGUGAAAUUUCUUGGCAAAGUUCAGCUCUUGGGAAGGAUAUUAUAGAACAGGUUCUGCUGUAUCAGCACUGUGUGAAGAGAUAUUAAAAAUAGACAUACAUAGGAAUGGCAGGUGUUGGUAGCAUCAGUCUGUAAGUCAAUUACAUGUGGUUUCCAUAAAGUUCAUUGUUUAAGAAAAUCAAUGCUAAGAAAAUACGAUGACUUCUGCACCUACUCUGGAUACAAAGAGAUCGCUGUGCAAGACCUGAGGAAGAGAUCUCCUCAGCUGAAAACGGAGUAGCUGCUGCAGCUCCCAUUGCCUGUCCUGUGUCCUCGGCCCACUGCUGUCCUUGGCUCAGAAGCAGUAGCAGAUAGCAAUCAAGGAGUCAGGAUUUCCGCUCCCACCGCUCUUUCUUACCCUUUCUGUGUCUGCAUUGUCUCCCAAAGCUGAUCACAAAAGAUGCGGUGUGGCCACAGGCUUAGAUGAGGGAUGAUAAGGAGGAGUUAAACAGAAGCAUUUUCACAUCAAAAAUGAUUUGAUGUGUGCCAAGAUGGUGUGGUAUACGCACAGCCUGUAAACAAGAGCCAAGAUGGCUAGCAGUGGAACAGCAAAACUGCUUAAUGCCUGUGGCAGGUCUGAGCUAAAAGCCCAAAAGCUUUCACCUAAAGCUGUGGUGAACAGCUAGUUUUUCCCAGUGCCUUAUGUUGCUAUGCAGACAAAUGGAGGCUACCUCUGCAAGUCCACAGGUGAGUGCUUGUUGCAGUCUGUCAGACCCGGAUGUCUCUCAGCUUUCAAGUUCACAAGCACAUCUCUCUAACAAGAGCAGUAGGUUUGGGACACUCCUUUUGUCCUACAGGCUCUCCUUCCUCCCCAUGUCUCCCCAGGUUAAGUGAUGCUAGCACUGGGGUGUGAUGAGCUAUCACCUGCCAGAAGUGCAUUCUGACGCUGCUCCUGAGCCAUUUCACCAUGCGCUUCCACCAGAGGUGACACAGCCUCACGUCAUCCCAUCCUGCAACAGACAGACAGACAGGGAGCAGCUCCCACCGAGUCCUACAGCAGACCUGCUUCUGUCGGCAAGAAAGGAUUUAGCCUGGGGGAUCUGAAGAUUUUAAUUUCCUUUCUUCUCUCUCUGACUUUGCCAGUUUCCUUCCUCUGAGAUCUUCUAUAUGCACAGCUUGUAAACAAGAGCAGAGGAGGGGAGGAGGGGGGGUCUCAAAGUAGCCUGACUGCCUGCUACACUCAGGUCGGUUGGUGGCACUUCCCAGGUCUGUAGUGAGGAAAGGUGACAGGCAAGGUAAAGGUGGAUUAUGGGAGUCCAGCCACCAGGAAAUGAGAGAGGGAAGACUUUAAGAAUUUUUAACGGGGAAUUUUUCACUUCUGUAAGGAAAAUAUUCAGCUUAUGUUUACAAGAAAAUACUGGCCAUCCAGACACAUCUUCACUGUCAAAAAUGGAGCUAUUACAGACGUGGGAAAAGGUUCCCCCAUCCAAAGCCGAGACUGCCGAAGGCUGCCCGCUCUGAGAGUCAUGGUAGAGAUACUGGAAGAUGACCACAGUCUACCAUCUUCUUAAGGAGUGGUUCUAUUUAUUACAGUAUUUGAAAUGUGAGAUCCUGAGAUAAUGGCUCAGGGAUUGCUCAAGGGCAAGGGAUGCAUCGUCUCUGAGAAGACCACUUAUCUCCCCUCUUUCUGCAUCCUCCCUGGUAAGACAACAUCUUCUGGAAGGGGGCUUUUGUGCGCAUUGCCAAAAUUCAAUUUGUGAAUUGGUUCUUCUGAAGCGAAGAUGUUGAAUGAUGUAACCCAAAUUGCCAGUCAGCUGGGUAAAGCCUGUCAGUAUUCUGGAGCCUGGAAUGGAAUAAAGUUCAUGUACCUGCAUUCCUUCUGGUUGUAGCUCACUUAAGCAUUUGAAAUAUCCACUGAGUGAAUACUCUGGGGUUUAGAGGUCAGCAGUGCUAAAACAUAAGUGUCCAGAGACUUGAUUUGCAGAGCAAGGUCUUUGACUAGAGGAAGUGAGAUACAAACCAGCACUUUUUCCUGGGGCUCGAAAGAGAGAAGAUAACUCAAGAGCUUGAACAAUCUGCCCUCUGUUACAAUACGCACCCUGUUUUAACUAGUUCAGUGGCCAGGUCACAGCAGCACGCUCUAGCAAGUGAGCUCCCAAGCACUGAACAUCUACAAUUUACAGCAGCACAGUUGAGGUCUUCAGCUGCUGCAUUGUGCACCUCACAGCAGCAACAAUGAUACUGUUAUAACACAGAAAUCAUCAGUGGGAGGAAACUAAUCUUGAACAGGCUAAUAGCCACAGUUAAGUCUUUCGGAGAGUUUUUAGCAUUCUGAGCCUCAGCAUAAGGAAAAGGUGCUUCUUCAGCUUAAUGCUUUAUAUGUAAACAAAUGCUGACUUAGUAGUAGUGUGUGGACGUGUCCACUGAACAUACAGGUUUGACCUGGAUGGUGCAUUCCCCCAGAAGUUUCCUUGGAUAGCACACCCGUGAGGGCAUGGCCAUGUUGCUGCCCGUCCAAGCAGAGUGAAAAACAAUGGAGCUUGACCAGCAACACAGAGUUAGUUGUUGGCCCCUGUAAGCUCCCUCCCCACUCUGUGAAUUAGUUUUGGACUCACAAGAGGUUUGAUAAGUGACUCAGAAGUGGCAUAUCUCUUCCUGCAAACCUUGCCAGGCUUUUAUCCUUACCCUGUAACUGCUAGAGCUACCCCAAGUGCUGACACCCUCUUCCUUGAAAUGGUUAAAAUCUAACUGUACUCAGGAGAGCAGAGGGUGGUUCAAAACAUAAAUAAAGAU